rnacentral:tRNA from 1 species
AAUUGGCAGCGCGUGGGCGCUGGGGCGGCGGGUUCGAACCCCGCGGGAUGGCUGGCGGUCGAGGCAGUCAGUCGGCCCGGGACCGAUGCCGGUCA